UACGUAGGGUCCGAGCGUUGUCCGGAAUUAUUGGGCGUAAAGGGCGCGUAGGCGGUUCGUCACGUCGGGAGUGAAAACUCGGAGCUUAACUCCGAGCCUGCUUCCGAUACGGGCAGACUAGAGGUAGGCAGGGGAGAGCGGAACUCCUGGUGUAGCGGUGGAAUGCGCAGAUAUCAGGAAGAACACCGGUGGCGAAGGCGGCUCUCUGGGCCUUACCUGACGCUGAGGAGCGAAAGCGUGGGUAGCGAACAGG
rnacentral:rRNA from 1 species